AUGAACGCUAGCUACAGGCUUAACACAUGCAAGUCGAGGGGCAGCAUGGUCUUAGCUUGCUAAGGCCGAUGGCGACCGGCGCACGGGUGAGUAACACGUAUCCAACCUGCCGUCUACUCUUGGACAGCCUUCUGAAAGGAAGAUUAAUACAAGAUGGCAUCAUGAGUCCGCAUGUUCACAUGAUUAAAGGUAUUCCGGUAGACGAUGGGGAUGCGUUCCAUUAGAUAGUAGGCGGGGUAACGGCCCACCUAGUCUUCGAUGGAUAGGGGUUCUGAGAGGAAGGUCCCCCACAUUGGAACUGAGACACGGUCCAAACUCCUACGGGAGGCAGCAGUGAGGAAUAUUGGUCAAUGGGCGAGAGCCUGAACCAGCCAAGUAGCGUGAAGGAUGACUGCCCUAUGGGUUGUAAACUUCUUUUAUAAAGGAAUAAAGUCGGGUAUGGAUACCCGUUUGCAUGUACUUUAUGAAUAAGGAUCGGCUAACUCCGUGCCAGCAGCCGCGGUAAUACGGAGGAUCCGAGCGUUAUCCGGAUUUAUUGGGUUUAAAGGGAGCGUAGAUGGAUGUUUAAGUCAGUUGUGAAAGUUUGCGGCUCAACCGUAAAAUUGCAGUUGAUACUGGAUAUCUUGAGUGCAGUUGAGGCAGGCGGAAUUCGUGGUGUAGCGGUGAAAUGCUUAGAUAUCACGAAGAACUCCGAUUGCGAAGGCAGCCUGCUAAGCUGCAACUGACAUUGAGGCUCGAAAGUGUGGGUAUCAAACAGGAUUAGAUACCCUGGUAGUCCACACGGUAAACGAUGAAUACUCGCUGUUUGCGAUAUACUGCAAGCGGCCAAGCGAAAGCGUUAAGUAUUCCACCUGGGGAGUACGCCGGCAACGGUGAAACUCAAAGGAAUUGACGGGGGCCCGCACAAGCGGAGGAACAUGUGGUUUAAUUCGAUGAUACGCGAGGAACCUUACCCGGGCUUAAAUUGCAGAUGAAUUACGGUGAAAGCCGUAAGCCGCAAGGCAUCUGUGAAGGUGCUGCAUGGUUGUCGUCAGCUCGUGCCGUGAGGUGUCGGCUUAAGUGCCAUAACGAGCGCAACCCUUGUUGUCAGUUACUAACAGGUUCCGCUGAGGACUCUGACAAGACUGCCAUCGUAAGAUGUGAGGAAGGUGGGGAUGACGUCAAAUCAGCACGGCCCUUACGUCCGGGGCUACACACGUGUUACAAUGGGGGGUACAGAGGGCCGCUACCACGCGAGUGGAUGCCAAUCCCAAAAACCUCUCUCAGUUCGGACUGGAGUCUGCAACCCGACUCCACGAAGCUGGAUUCGCUAGUAAUCGCGCAUCAGCCACGGCGCGGUGAAUACGUUCCCGGGCCUUGUACACACCGCCCGUCACACCAUGAGAGUUGGGAAUACCCGAAGCCUGUAAGCUAACGCAAGAGGCAGCAGUCGAAGGUAGAAUCAAUGAUUGGGGUG
rnacentral:rRNA from 1 species